UCCUAGAAGGCCAAGAGAGGAGAAAGCAGUUGGCAGAGGCACGGCCUUCGAGGACAGAAGGAACUGAGCUGUGCAGCACUUCUCUUCAGGCUUCAACCCUCCUUGCAACAACAACUGCUCUGAACUGAACAGGAACAAAACAGCCUUGGUCAGCAGCCUGUUCUAGUGGGACUUCCCUGGCACAUCAGAAAGAAGCCACAGAGGCACAACUACAAAGAGAACAUUUCUCCACAUCGCUGCCCAUGGAGGAUCUGGUUUCCAGUGAAACAACAGCUGGACCAUCUGGCAUCUGUGUUCAGGCCCACCAGGCCUUCUUCCUAGCAGUUCUCCACGUCAAUCACAGUGUGCUCCCAUCACAACCCUACUCCUGACUUGUACCAGGUAAUUCCAUCAUUCUGCACCAUUACUUUUGCUCUGCUCGGCACUGGUGAGGCUGCACCUGGAGAACAGCAUCCAGCUCUGGGCUCCCAGUCCAAGAGACAGCUGGACAUACUGCAAAGAGUCCAAUGGAGGGCUACCAAGAUGGUGAAGGGACUGGAACACCUCUUCCACGACAAGAGGCUGAAAGAGAGGGGGCUGCUCAGCCUGGAGAAGGGCAGCUCAGGGGGAUCCCAGCCACAGCCAUCAAUCCUGCAAGGGCAGAGAGGAUGGAGCCGGGCUGCAUCCCAUGGAGCCCAGUGCCAGGACCAGAGGCUGCCACCAAACAUCAGGAGCACUCCUGCACUGUAAGCUGCAGCACUGGCACAGGCACCCAGAGAGGCUGCAGUUUCUCCUCUUGGAGAUCUCCAAACCCAUCUGGACGUGGUCCUGGGCACCAGUUCUGGUAGCUUUGUUGGAGCAGGGCUGGACCAGAUGGACCAGAGGUCCCCUCCAGCAUCAGCCAUGCAGUGCUUCCACAACACACACGACGUGCUGCGUUUGGCUCAAAACGGCCAUUCACAAACGGGUUUCUCCUGCCUCCUGCUCAGUGCCACCUCUGUGGGAUCACACUGCCUCCUACGAUCCACCUCUGUUCCAACAAAGAUCAACAGCAAAACAGUGCUGACCUUCACGAAGUCUGGGCUUUGGAAAAUAGGCACAGGAAUAACCACUGCAUGGGUGGAACCCUGUGGGUUGAACCAGGAGGGAACAGCAUGCCCAGAGAGUUUAUCUGGAAAAAUACUUCCUCUAUGAGCUAACAUUCAGUUGGAUUUUUUAUUAACUCUCAAGCAGGAAAAGCAGAUAUAUGUGGGGCAUUGUCCUCUAUAGGAGGAAACAGAAAGAAGUUACAAAUUUACCACUCGUAAAAAGAUAGCGCUCUUCCUGCCCUAUCCACACUCCUUACAUUCAUGUGAUCAGGGCAAAUGCCUGGCACAGCAUGGCACAGCAAACAGGCACACUCACCAUCGCUCAAGUGCUUGGUUAAUCUCUUAUUGUUCAGGUCCACCAGCUGCUGGCAACUGCAAUAAAAACCAGAGAGAGCAUCAGUUUUCUAGCAAGCAGUUCUUACAAGGUGCCACCCCUGCCAUUUCGUGGUGCUGGUUAAGUGACUGUGACUGUAAGGCACAGCGAUACACACAUGAUUUCCCAAUCUGAAAGCAACACCUGAACAGCACUACAGAAUGCCCAUAAACACACAUUGCUUCGCACUGAACCAACAAGGCCUGCCUUGCAGCACGACAGCAGCUCUGCGUGAGAGAGGGAUGCAGAUCAAGGCAGCAGGGCGUAAGAAAUGCCUUUUUUAUUCCUAGAGUGACAGCCUGGCUGAGGUUACAAGCAGCAGACUGCCACUCCUGUGCUGCUGUCAGUGAGCCCAGCCCUUGUGCAAGAGCAGCAGUGCCUGUGCUCGCCCUGCAUGUGACUCUUACACAUCUGGAACAUCAUCACAGUGCGCUGCCCUGCCAAGCAAGCUCAGCACGGCGUUGCCACACAGGCGCUCCUCAGCACUCAAUUUGUUCUCUCCUUCAUGGAAUCGUGGAUCUCUGGGCAACCUACGACCCAGGCAUCAGAAAAAUAAAGCUUCCGCCCUUCUCGA